rnacentral:lncRNA from 1 species
CUCUCUUUCCCGUUUUCGAAAACACAUUUUCGAAAACAAAAAAAAAAUUGUGAAGAAAACACUUUUUUCUUCACAAAACAAGGAAAAUCUCAAAACACGGGAAAUGGUUCAACCUCUCCUCAAACCACCACCUUUCGGAGUUAGAAACGGAGUCACAAAACACAGCAUUUUGGUUGCCAAAACCACCAGAUCCAACCACCAUUAGUCUCGCCUCAUUCCUCUCUACAAUCUCCAACCAACUACCAACUACCAACUACAAAUCAACAGAAAGCAAACAAUUCAGCCCAAAAAAAAUGUCGUACACCAAUUUUCGGUCGGAAUCUCCGCCUCCGACGACAUCCAAGGUCGCGUAGCACCACCGGUCGAUUGCCCACCACAAACCGAUCCCAACUAUGGCCCCCAUUUACCACAAACAACAAUUCAACAAUUUGAAUUAAACCUAGAAACAAACCCGUCGCGAGGCCGUCCAACAGAAUCCGAAUGUUGCAUAUUUCGGCGUCGUCUGGUCGACACAUGGUUGCGGACCACAUGGGUUGAACUACUCUUCACCUGGCGCACCUUGUCCAGCCAUGGGUCAGCCCCAAUUUCACCCAGAACUUGACGAAUUUUGCCAGCAUGGGUCAAAAUUUUGUCCAAAUGUGGCUCUACCACUGGAUGACGCUGAGGGGGUUUGAGUGAUGCUGGGAUUUGGUGGUCUAGGUGGUGGAGGUUGUCGGUUUGUGAGGUAGAAGAAGGUGUUGGAAGGGGCAAAAAUCUCAUUGGCUGGAGAAGAGAAAAUGAAGGAAAAAAAAAGAACGUGUUUUCAAUUUUCAUGUUUUU